rnacentral:tRNA from 1 species
AGGUCCGUAGCUCAAUUGGUAGAGCACUGGUCUCCAAAACCAGGGGUUGCAAGUUCGAGUCUUGCCGGGCCUG